UGGGGAAUUUUGGACAAUGGGGGAAACCCUGAUCCAGCCAUCCCGCGUGUGCGAUGAAGGCCUUCGGGUUGUAAAGCACUUUUGGCAGGAAAGAAACGUCGCGGGUUAAUACCCCGCGAAACUGACGGUACCUGCAGAAUAAGCACCGGCUAACUACGUGCCAGCAGCCGCGGUAAUACGUAGGGUGCAAGCGUUAAUCGGAAUUACUGGGCGUAAAGCGUGCGCAGGCGGUUCGGAAAGAAAGAUGUGAAAUCCCAGAGCUUAACUUUGGAACUGCAUUUUUAACUACCGGGCUAGAGUGUGUCAGAGGGAGGUGGAAUUCCGCGUGUAGCAGUGAAAUGCGUAGAUAUGCGGAGGAACACCGAUGGCGAAGGCAGCCUCCUGGGAUAACACUGACGCUCAUGCACGAAAAGCGUGGGGAGCAAAACAGGAUUAGAUACCCUGGUAGUCCACGCCCUAAAACGAUGUCAAACUAGCUGUUGGGGCCUUCGGGCCUUGGUAGCGCAGCUAACGCGUGAAGUUGA
rnacentral:rRNA from 1 species